GUGGGGAAUUUUGGACAAUGGGCGAAAGCCUGAUCCAGCCAUGCCGCGUGCAGGAUGAAGGCCUUCGGGUUGUAAACUGCUUUUGUACGGAACGAAAAGACUCCUUCUAAUAAAGGGGGUCCAUGACGGUACCGUAAGAAUAAGCACCGGCUAACUACGUGCCAGCAGCCGCGGUAAUACGUAGGGUGCAAGCGUUAAUCGGAAUUACUGGGCGUAAAGCGUGCGCAGGCGGUUAUAUAAGACAGAUGUGAAAUCCCCGGGCUCAACCUGGGAACUGCAUUUGUGACUGUAUAGCUAGAGUACGGUAGAGGGGGAUGGAAUUCCGCGUGUAGCAGUGAAAUGCGUAGAUAUGCGGAGGAACACCGGUGGCGAAGGCGACCACCUGGCUCGGUACUGACGCUGAGGCGCGACAGCGUGGGGAGCAAACAGGAUUAGAAACCCUGGUAGUCC
rnacentral:rRNA from 1 species